rnacentral:rRNA from 1 species
GAUGAACGCUGGCGGCGUGCCUAAUACAUGCAAGUCGAGCGAACGGACGAGAAGCUUGCUUUUCUGAUGUUAGCGGCGGACGGGUGAGUAACACGUGGAUAACCUACCUAUAAGACUGGGAUAACUUCGGGAAACCGGAGCUAAUACCGGAUAAUAUUUUGAACCGCAUGGUUCAAAAGUGAAAGACGGUCUUGCUGUCACUUAUAGAUGAAUCCGCGCUGCAUUAGCUGGUUGGUAAGGUAACGGCUUACCAAGGCAACGAUGCAUAGCCGACCUGAGAGGGUGAUCGGCCACACUGGAACUGAGACACGGUCCAGACUCCUACGGGAGGCAGCAGUAGGGAAUCUUCCGCAAUGGGCGAAAGCCUGACGGAGCAACGCCGCGUGAGUGAUGAAGGUCUUCGGAUCGUAAAACUCUGUUAUUAGGGAAGAACAUAUGUGUAAGUAACUGUGCACAUCUUGACGGUACCUAAUCAGAAAGCCACGGCUAACUACGUG